rnacentral:snRNA from 1 species
GUCUCUUUGGAGACAUCCGAUAAAAUUGGAAUGAUACAGAGAAGAUUAGCAUGGCCCCUGCGCAAGGAUGGCACGUUGUGCACAAAGGCUUCCUCGUGGGCU